CUGGAUGAUUCAUUAAUUAGGAGUCAAGGAAAAUAAAGAAUUGAAGAUGAUCCCAAGUUUUGUGUUUGUUUCCUGAAUACUUGUGGGUAAUAACAAUAACGUGUGUAGAAUGAGGAAAGCUGACUUUUGGUAGAAAUAGGUGAGUUUUGGUUUUUUAUUUUCUAGUGGAAAAGUGGUGGGGCUAAUCACAACUGCUUAUUUUUGUGCCAGGUAAUUUUGCAUAUGUUAUUGCACUUAAUCUCCUGACUACCUGAGAGCAAAUCAUCAUUUUCCUUUUUCUGUAUGUAGUAUGAGAUUCCAAGACCAAGUGACCUUUCUAAAGCCACAGAGGUUUUAGGUGAUACAGCAGGAUGUGCGCCUGUAUUUCCUGACUCCAAACUCCAUGUUGUGCCUAUUGUCCUCCACAAAAGUGAGUCGUGGGAAGAUAUGUGGAUUGUCCCAGCAUAAAGGAAGAGAGAGACUCAUUUUUUCCCAGGUGCAUACAGAGUCAUCUUCCACUGCUUGCAGCCAAGACCUGCGGUUAUGGAGCACACAGUUGAGGAGCACACUGUGUCAAUCAAACACUGUUUCAUCGCAUUAAAUUGCACCAAACCCUUCCAACAGUAGGUGGGAGCAGAGGAUUUAAAUUGAACAUCAGCAAAGAAGAAAAGCUUAAAUUCAGACUGGGAACAAAUAUGCAUUUGCCUGAGUGUGCCGUAAUCCUGGGAGAACAAUAGGAAAUAUCUUGAAUUAAAAAAAAAACAAAAAACAAAAAACUAUGAACUGUGAUCAAGAGGGAGAAAAUACAGGACUUAGCUGAAAAUCUAGGUUUUAAACUUUCUUACUUUUAACCUUGAGAAAGUUAUUUAAGUGUUCUUAAACUAAAUUUUCUAAUUUUUCACAUAAUCUCUAAUAGUCUAUUUAAAAG
rnacentral:lncRNA from 1 species